rnacentral:lncRNA from 1 species
AUGCCGGAACUUCCCAGACCUCCUUGUGGCCACGCUCUCGGCCUUUCUCAGCCAAGCCUCCUUCACCCUCUGCACCUUGGGGUUCGAGUCACCUCCAGCACAUCCUGGCCAGAAGGGGCACCGUAUCUCUUCGGCUCUCUGAACCCCGGAAGGACAAGGAGCGCAGGGGCCUCGCGGGUUUCACACUCGGCACUCAGCGGUGAUGCCAAAGGAUGCUCUUUCUGUCCAUAAAAGAUUCGAAAGCAGUCCACACGCGAGAUCCGACUUUUGAUCUGCUUUGCUAGCUUUAUUGCUUUAAAAGAGAAAAAGUGUCCAUUUCCUUAUGAAAUACACUACUGCAAAUGAGGUAAAAGUCCUAAUGGGCUUUUCUUACUCUGAAUGCAAAAAUUUUGAAUAAAUAUGGCCUCUACUUAUGUAGAUGUAUAUUUUGGAAUAUAACUCAGAUAGCUAUGCCUUUUUCUGCGAAUUCAGCCCUCUAAUUUAGAUCGAAGGUAUUUCUCUGUGUAUGUGCAUGUGUGUGCUUGAAUAUAGAAAGGGAAAAAAUUAUUUCCCAACUGUGUUUAGUUACCAUUAAAAUUCUUUUUUUUUCUUAUUAUUACCAGAGGAGAUUCUGCACUCACACACCUCUUAAUACGGCUAAACCAUAUGCAUUUAAAUUUUGACACUGAUAACAAAAAAUUUAUGGGAAAAUGUCAGUCUAGUCAGAAUUUUAAACUGGAGUGGGGAGCGAUCUGGAGGGUGUGGCAGUAACGUCUGUCUCAGCACAGAUGUGUGCAAUCUGUAUGUACCUUUCAGGGGUAGAAUCCUCCAGAGAAAACAUACGCACUGUAGACAGAUAAAUUUUGCUCCAGAACAGGCUAAUUCAUUUCAGUUUAACUGUUCAGCAUCUUUUCUCUUUCUUUCCUUUUUCCUUCUAUUUUCUUUUCUUCCCUCCCCCUCUUUUUCUUCCUUCCUUCUUUCCUU